rnacentral:misc_RNA from 1 species
UUGACGGUCUCGUCCUCCAUG